AGGGUCAGAUUUGUCUCCUGAGGAGGAUGAGUCAUUGCCAGACAAGAAAAAGGAGGAUACAGUGUUGCUUCCGGUUCCUCCGCCAAAAAUUAAGGGACAAAAUGCAAUGCUGCUCGAGUUACCUGCACCCCCAGAACUGGCUAACACCACCAUUAGACAACCAGAGAGUCCUGCAUCUUCAGACAUUUCUGGAUGUUCUUGUCCAACGCAUCACCGUUCGCCCACAAGGUCUGAAUCAUUAGAAGCAUUUAGUCCAGAGUCAGACAG